CGAAAUCUAUCACAUGCCCCCAACACAAAGGGUGGAACUCAUACUCCCCGUUUAGUCGUGGAAUGAAGAAACCACUUGAAGGAAAAAAGGAGAUACAGACUGAAUGCCCUCGCCCAAGUACACUGGCAACUAAGCUACCAUCAGAAUGCAUCCUUGUCCCAAGUUGUCUACAGACACUUUAAAGUGUCGCCUUAAAAUGAACACCAUUCAACACUGAACCUGCAAAUCAUCAAGCUGACCUUCUAAGAAAAAGGAUGACCUUCUGUUACAACCUUGGUUUUACCUAAACCCAUGGUUGAGCUCACAUCCCUACAAAAGUAAAACACCCCAGUAAUGACAUGCACCCCUUGUCACUAGUGUCAAAGAGAUAGCAGAGCAUCUUGGAGACUGUGAAAUCCUGAAGUUUAUGCUCCAUCUAAGGGAACAGAGGCC
rnacentral:lncRNA from 1 species